rnacentral:rRNA from 1 species
GACGAACGCUGGCGGCGUGCUUAACACAUGCAAGUCGAACGGAAAGGCCCUGCUUUUGUGGGGUGCUCGAGUGGCGAACGGGUGAGUAACACGUGAGUAACCUUCCCUUUACUUUUGGAUAACUUCAGGAAACUGGGGCUAAUACCGGAUAGGAGCUCCUUCUGCAUGGUGGGGGUUGGAAAGUUUCGGCGGUUGGGGAUGGACUCGCGGCUUAUCAGCUUGUUGGUGGGGUAGUGGCUUACCAAGGCUUUGACGGGUAGCCGGCCUGAGAGGGUGACCGGCCACAUUGGGACUGAGAUACGGCCCAGACUCCUACGGGAGGCAGCAGUGGGGAAUAUUGCACAAUGGGCGGAAGCCUGAUGCAGCAACGCCGCGUGCGGGAUGACGGCCUUCGGGUUGUAAACCGCUUUCGCCUGUGGCGAAGCGUGAGUGACGGUAAUGGGUAAAGAAGCACCGGCUAACUACGUG